GGAGAGUUUGAUCCUGGCUCAGAACGAACGCUGGCGGCGUGCUUAACACAUGCAAGUCGAGCGCGAAAGUUUUCCUUCGGGGAAGCGAGUAGAGCGGCAGACGGGUGAGUAACACGUGGGCAACCUGCCCCUGGGUGGGGGAUAACCACUUGAAAGGGUGGCUAAUACCGCAUAAGACCCCGCCUUUUGGGAGGUGAGGUCAAAGGUCCUUCGGGACUGCCUGGGGAGGGGCCCGCGCCCGAUUAGCUAGUUGGUGGGGUAACGGCCUACCAAGGCGACGAUCGGUAGCUGGUCUGAGAGGAUGAUCAGCCACACUGGUACUGAGACACGGACCAGACUCCUACGGGAGGCAGCAGUGGGGAAUAUUGCGCAAUGGGGGAAACCCUGACGCAGCAACGCCGCGUGGGUGAUGAAGGCCUUCGGGUCGUAAAGCCCUGUCAGGUGGAAAACCAGUGGCGAAGGCGGCCCUCUGGAACGGAACUGACGCUGAGGCGCGAAAGCGUGGGGAGCAAACAGGAUUAGAGACCCUGGUAGUCCACGCCGUAAACGAUGGAUGCUUGGUGUGGGAUUCAAUAAGGAAUUCCGUGCCGCAGCUAACGCGGUAAGCAUCCCGCCUGGGGAGUACGGUCGCAAGACUAAAAUUCAAAGGAAUUGACGGGGGCCCGCACAAGCGGUGGAGUAUGUGGUUUAAUUCGACACAACGCGAAGAACCUUACCUGGGUUUGACAUCCCGCGCCGGCCGUAGAAAUACGGAUUUCCCUUCGGGGACGCGGAGACAGGUGCUGCAUGGCUGUCGUCAGCUCGUGUCGUGAGAUGUUGGGUUAAGUCCCGCAACGAGCGCAACCCCUGUUCCAUGUUGCCAUCGGGUAGAGCCGGGCACUCUUGGGAGACUGCCGGUGUCAAGCCGGAGGAAGGUGGGGACGACGUCAAGUCAUCAUGGCCCUUAUGCCCAGGGCUACACACGUACUACAAUGGCCGGUACAAAGGGCAGCGAACCCGCGAGGGGGAGCGAAUCUCAAAAAGCCGGUCCCAGUUCGGAUUGGAGUCUGCAACUCGACUCCAUGAAGGCGAAAUCGCUAGUAAUCGCGGAUCAGCAUGCCGCGGUGAAUGUGUACCCGGGCCUUGUACACACCGCCCGUCACACCAUGAGAGUCGCCGGUACCAGAAGUGCGUGGGCCAACCCUUCGGGGAGGCAGCGUACCAAGGUAUGGGUGGUGAUUGGGGUGAAGUCGAAACAAGGUA
rnacentral:rRNA from 1 species